rnacentral:snRNA from 1 species
GGAGGUGUGAGGAGGUGGCUGUGAUAUCUGUCACUCUGUUAUCACCAGGGUUGAUUCAGCUGAUCUGGCUGGCUAGGCAGGUGUCCCCUUCCUCCCCCACUGCUCCAUGUGAGUCACUCUCGAAGAGGACAACCAUCCCAGAUAGAGGAGGACUGAUCUUCAGUCAAGGGUAUAUGAGUAGCUGAAUUCCUCUGCUGAGCCUCCAAACAAGCUCUCAAGGUCUAUUAAGUGUUAAUUAGCUCAAAAGGUAUUCA